AGUUGCGGGCCCGUUGAAGAAAGCAUUUUUCUAUUCAAAAUAGUCGAGUCAUUUGUCAAGUUAUUAUGUAAGUGGUCCUUUAGUAUUUUGUCCAUUGUUACGGUUGCAUGGGCCUGUUAAAUAAAGCUUUUUCUAACCAAAAUUGUCAAGUCAUUAUAUAGGUGGUCUUUUGGUAUUUUGUCCAUUGUUACGGUUGCAUGGGCCUGU